UUAUCCUGCAGUCUAGUUCGUCACCGGCAAUUUGUUUACAAAUAAAAUGCAUGUUGCAUUUAUUGCUUUGAGAUAAGGACAGGUACUGCACAGUUUGUCACCGUAGAUAAGCAGUCCUCACCAUGGAUUACCUGAAAGUAGGGAGGGUUGAUCAUGGACACAAUGAGACACAGGCACCUGUCACAAUCUUAAUGACAAUCUCUUACUGAUGGUUAGAAUGACCUAAUGGAAAACUCACAGAAGUUUGUACCAUUGGUACAUAAAGAGGAAUGCGUGUCCGAAGAAUUGUCGUAAGAUCCUGUAUGAAGAGUCCUAUUUGACCUCUACCCCUGACCCGGAUGUAUAUAAUCCACGUUGGUGACACAAGUUGAAUGCCCAACAUGCUGUGUUGAAACUUAAACAUUUUGCUUCUCAGAUGUUGGUCUUGGCCAGGUAGCGGCCAGUCCUACAGGAAAGUACUACAAUCGGACAAGGAUACACUUUGGUGCCAUAUCACGGUUUAUCACGUUACGAUUUGUUUCCAUUUACAUUCGGUAGAGAUAGCAAGAGAAUACAUUAAAAAGAAGUAAAUGAG